AAGGCAAUGACCGAGGGCCGAGGUCAUGGACCUUGAAGCCUUGUGAAAGAGCCAUAGUCUUUCACUUACCCGGUAGACGUUGUUCAAGCCAGACGGAAAGUUUUAAACCCAAAACGAAGUGAGUGAGCGUAGUUGAAACGCUCAGAGUUUGAAGUCGUGAAGAGUUGUGGAGAGGUGAAAAGUGCGGAAAAAGGACAUCAGGACCCCGCAGUUUUAGUGCGAAGCCUGUAAAGGUUUCUCCUUCGCCCUACCACGUCCUGGUGCUUCAACCGGGUAGAUUCCGGCAGCGUUGUUGGCCGAAGGCCGAUCCGUCCAAAUAUCGGCAGCCUAGGACGUGUAGGCGGGUCCAUUCAGCUGCAGCGAUACCCCAAAGCCACCCCGUGGCGAGAGACGUGGCCAGACGUGGCCUGAAGAGAACGCGGUGUUCCGAACCUCGGAGAGAAGGACAUCGGCGGCCGACAUUGAGGAGAAAGGAGGAAGAAAGGAGGUUGCAGCAGAAGAAAGGGGCCCCGAAGAGAACAGGUUAGAUAGAUUGUAAGAAAGUGGGGAGGAGUAGAAGGUUGUAAGGAGUAGAAUAAAGUGUGCACAAACAGUCCAAAAGUCGAAAUACAGUUAUUUAAAGUCA